UACGGGGGGGGCAAGCGUUGUUCGGAAUUACUGGGCGUAAAGGGCGCGUAGGCGGCCUGCUAAGUCGGAUGUGAAAUCCCUCGGCUCAACCGAGGAACUGCAUCCGAUACUGGCGGGCUUGAAUCCGGGAGAGGGAUGUGGAAUUCCAGGUGUAGCGGUGAAAUGCGUAGAUAUCGAGAGGAACACCUGCGGCGAAGGCGGGUUGCUGGGCUGACACUGACGCUGAAGUGCGAAAGCUAGGGGAGCGAACGGG
rnacentral:rRNA from 1 species